rnacentral:rRNA from 1 species
CAGCAGCCGCGGGAAUACGAAGGGGGCUAGCGUUGCUCGGAAUGACUGGGCGUAAAGGGCGCGUAGGCGGUUUGUCGAGUUUGAUGUGAAAUUCCCGGGCUUAACCUGGGGACUGCAUUUGAUACUGGCAGGCUUGAGUGUGGAAGAGGGUCGUGGAAUUCCCAGUGUAGAGGUGAAAUUCGUAGAUAUUGGGAAGAACACCGGUGGCGAAGGCGGCGACCUGGUCCAUAACUGACGCUGAGGCGCGAAAGCGUGGGGAGCAAACAGGAUUAGAUACCCCUGUAGUCCCUGUCUCUUAUAC